rnacentral:rRNA from 1 species
AUUGAACGCUGGCGGCAGGCCUAACACAUGCAAGUCGAGCGGCAGCGGGAAAGUAGCUUGCUACUUUUGCCGGCGAGCGGCGGACGGGUGAGUAAUGCCUGGGGAUCUGCCCAGUCGAGGGGGAUAACAGUUGGAAACGACUGCUAAUACCGCAUACGCCCUACGGGGGAAAGCAGGGGAUCGCAAGACCUUGCGCUGAUUGAGCGGCCGAUAUCAGAUUAGCUAGUUGGUGAGGUAAAAGCUCACCAAGGCGACGAUCUGUAGCGGGGUCUGAGAGGAUGAUCCGCCACACUGGAACUGAGACACGGUCCAGACUCCUACGGGAGGCAGCAGUGGGGAAUUUUGGACAAUGGGGGCAACCCUGAUCCAGCCAUGCCGCGUGAGUGAAGAAGGCCUUCGGGUUGUAAAGCUCUUUCAGCCGGGAAGAAAAUGCGUGGGUUAAUACCCUGUGCAGAUGACGGUACCGGAAUAAGAAGCACCGGCUAACUACGUG